CCUAAUGAAAUCCCUGCUCAUUUUGCAUUCCGGAUUUGUCCAACGAGGUGCUGAAUAUCAGCAGGUAAUGGAGGAUGGAAAGAAUACUGUUGAGCAACGAGAAGCAAGUGAGAUUAAGGCUGAAAAUACUGAUUCUACAAGAACUGCUUGUUCAUGGGAAUACUGCUGCUACUUGCCAGAAAACCUAAAGAAGAAAAAUAAUGAAAAGGUGAAGCAAUUUCUCUGAAUUCACAGUAAAUCAGCAGACUAACGGAUCAAAGUCAGAUUAAUAGACCAAGGACAAACACAACUGCAGGGAUCGGCCUCUUCUCCCAGCAUAGGAGAAUUUCAAAGAGGAACCUGACAGAUGUUUGCUCCUGCUGGGCUGAGCUGUGAUGCUGGAGAUUUCAAGAAGGUGCUCCACGGCAAUUGAGCGACCUUCUCAU